rnacentral:rRNA from 1 species
GACGAACGCUGGCGGCGUGCCUAAUACAUGCAAGUGGGACGCAAGAGAACACACUGUGCUUGCACACCGUGUUUUCUUGAGUCGCGAACGGGUGAGUAACGCGUAGGUAACCUGCCUAUUAGCGGGGGAUAACUAUUGGAAACGAUAGCUAAUACCGCAUAAUAUUAAUUAUUGCAUGAUAAUUGAUUGAAAGAUGCAAGCGCAUCACUAGUAGAUGGACCUGCGUUGUAUUAGCUAGUUGGUAAGGUAAGAGCUUACCAAGGCGACGAUACAUAGCCGACCUGAGAGGGUGAUCGGCCACACUGGGACUGAGACACGGCCCAGACUCCUACGGGAGGCAGCAGUAGGGAAUCUUCGGCAAUGGACGAAAGUCUGACCGAGCAACGCCGCGUGAGUGAAGAAGGUUUUCGGAUCGUAAAGCUCUGUUGUAAGUCAAGAACGUGUGUGAGAGUGGAAAGUUCACACAGUGA